rfam:Capsicum annuum cultivar Zunla-1 chromosome 11, whole genome shotgun sequence
ACCUUAUGGUUGGUACAUUGCAUGAGCUUCUCAUUAAUUCUCUCCCAUACCUUAUAUAGAGGUUCUCCAUUCAAUUGAAAAAAAUUUGUGAUUUCAUCAUAUAAUU